CUCGCACAGCCGCGAGUAAACGACGCCGAGAGGAUGAGCGGAAACAGCCCCGCAAGGUGCGAUGAGGAGCACCGGACUCUCACUCGUCCUGCUGACCUUUGUCUUGAAUAUUUCGCUGGGACUCGUUCGCGCCGAGGACGCAAUCGACCUGGAGGACUUCGCCGUGAACAUGCCUCUCUGCCCUGCCUACCUGCCCGACGACGCCCCUGACGAAGCCCUAGAACUCAUCUCCACCGUGAGUAUGGACCUC